rnacentral:rRNA from 1 species
UACAGAGGUCCCGAGCGUUGUUCGGAUUCAUUGGGCGUAAAGCGUGCGCAGGCGGUUCGUUGUGUCGGUGGUGAAAUCCCCGGGCUUAACCUGGGAAUGGCCAUGGAAACUGGCGAACUGGAGUGCGGCAGAGGGGGGUGGAAUUCCGCGUGUAGCAGUGAAAUGCGUAGAGAUGCGGAGGAACACCGAUGGCGAAGGCAGCCCCCUGGGCUAGCACUGACGCUCAGGCACGAAAGCGUGGGGAGCAAACAGG